rnacentral:rRNA from 1 species
UACGGAGGGUGCGAGCGUUGUUCGGAAUCACUGGGCGUAAAGGGCGUGUAGGCGGUCCGCUAAGUCUGAUGUGAAAGCCCGGGGCUCACCCCCGGAAGUGCAUUGGAAACUGGCGGACUCGAGUCCCGGAGAGGAGAGUGGAAUUCCGGGUGUAGCGGUGGAAUGCGUAGAGAUCCGGAAGAACACCGGUGGCGAAGGCGGUUGGCUGGGCCACAACUGACACUGAUGCGCGACAGCGUGGGGAGCAAACAGG